GACGAACGCUGGCGGCGUGCUUAACACAUGCAAGUCGAACGCUGAAGCUCAGCUUUUGUUGGGUGGAUGAGUGGCGAACGGGUGAGUAACACGUGAGUAACCUGCCUCCUUCUUUGGGAUAACGCCCGGAAACGGGUGCUAAUACUGGAUAUUCACUGGUCUUCGCAUGGGGGUUGGUGGAAAGGGUUUUUCUGGUGGGGGAUGGGCUCGCGGCCUAUCAGCUUGUUGGUGGGGUGAUGGCCUACCAAGGCUUUGACGGGUAGCCGGCCUGAGAGGGUGACCGGUCACAUUGGGACUGAGAUACGGCCCAGACUCCUACGGGAGGCAGCAGUGGGGAAUAUGGCACAAUGGGUGCAAGCCUGAUGCAGCGACGCCGCGUGAGGGAUGGAGGCCUUCGGGUUGUGAACCUCUUUCGCUCAUGGUCAAGCCGCAACAAUGGUUGUGGUGAGGGUAGUGGGUAAAGAAGCGCCGGCUAACUACGUG
rnacentral:rRNA from 1 species